UACGUAGGGGGCAAGCGUUGUCCGGAUUUAUUGGGCGUAAAGAGCGUGUAGGCGGCCAGACAGGUCAGCUGUGAAAACUCGAGGCUCAACCUCGAGACGUCGGUUGAAACCGUCUGGCUAGAGUCCGGAAGAGGAGAGUGGAAUUCCCGGUGUAGCGGUGAAAUGCGCAGAUAUCGGGAAGAACACCCGUGGCGAAGGCGGCUCUCGUGGGACGGUACUGACGCUGAGACGCGAAAGCGUGGGGAGCGAACA
rnacentral:rRNA from 1 species